GUGACAGCUAGUGUUACAAGUCUUUACUGGAUUCGCUCUUUAAUUUGAAAUGUUCUAUAAAUGCAAACUUAAUGAAGCAUGUGCUCUAUUGCUGUGUCCUUCUAUUUCUAUAUUUGUGAAACUUUUAUACGAACUAUACAUUUCACUUCAAGUAAAAACCAGUACAACAUGUUAACAACAAUUACUAAAAUUGUUUGUGUUUAGAAUAGAUACAAUCAGAGAUUAUGGACAAUUAUAUAAAUUAUUUUAUCAAGUAUACAACAAACAAAAGCAAUGUCUUCAUAUAAGUAUUUGCAUAAAUCAUUAAUAGUUAUGAGGUGGAUCUGAUAGCAGCUAGAGGCAUGUAUAGUUGACUUCCGAAUAGUUGAAAGCGGAAUCUAUUGUUUACUAGCAGUAUUGUACAUCCCCCUAUUUCUAGGAGACUCAAUAACAUUUAUGAGUGCCAGAUGCAGCAAAAGUACUGCAAAAUAGGAAAUUUAAAUUAUAACAUUUGAGGACUCAGCAACACCCAUCAACUUGUUGUCUCCUACAUGAUUCUUAGAGACAGUAUAACAUUUCUAAGUGAAAAUGCUGGAAAAUAAAAUAAAUAAAUUUUGAUCAAAACUCAAGAAACAUACUAAAAGUAUUUCAUUCUUCAGGAGGAUUCAGAUACACCCAUGAAUCUACCAUUGCCUUCUACAUGAUUCUACUAUGAAAAUACGAGAAAAUUAAUAAGAUGAAUUUUAAUUUUAAACAAAGGCACAAGGUAAUGAUGACCCAACAGCACAUGCAGAUCCUUUGUUGCCUUAUGUAU